UUUUUUGAGAGCCAAAUAAGAUCAAUGCUGCAUGGCGGAGGUGUACGCUCUACUGAGUGCUCCUCUAGUUGGGAAUGAUUGUUCUGUUUUAUUUGAAAACAG